rnacentral:rRNA from 1 species
GAGUUUGAUCCUGGCCAGGACGAACGCUGGCGGCGUGCUUAACACAUGCAAGUCGAACGGGGUCCCUCCAGUGGCAACACUGGUGAAGGCCUAGUGGCGAACGGGUGAGUAACACGUGAGGAACCUGCCCUGAAGAUCGGGAUAAGCCGGGGAAACCUGGUCUAAUACCGAAUGUCUCCACCUGGCCGCAUGACCGGGUGAAGAAAUGGAUUCCGCUUCAGGAGGGCCUCGCGGCCUAUCAGCUUGUUGGUGGGGUAACGGCCUACCAAGGCUCCGACGGGUAGCUGGUCUGAGAGGACGAUCAGCCACACUGGGACUGAGACACGGCCCAGACUCCUACGGGAGGCAGCAGUGGGGAAUCUUGCGCAAUGGGCGAAAGCCUGACGCAGCAACGCCGCGUGGGGGAUGAAGGCCUUCGGGUUGUAAACCCCUUUCAGCAGGAACGAAUCUGACGGUACCUGCAGAAGAAGGUCCGGCCAACUACGUGCCAGCAGCGCG